rnacentral:rRNA from 1 species
UACAGAGGGGGCAAGCGUUAUUCGGAAUUAUUGGGCGUAAAGGGCGCGUAGGCGGCUUUUCAAGUGACGGGUGAAAUCCCUCGGCUUAACCGAGGAACUGCCUGUCAGACUGGAAGGCUUGAGACCGGGAGAGGUGAGUGGAAUUCCCAGUGUAGCGGUGAAAUGCGUAGAUAUUGGGAGGAACACCAGUGGCGAAGGCGGGUCUCUGGGCCGAUACUGACGCUGAGGAGCGAAAGCGUGGGGAGCGAACAGG